rnacentral:rRNA from 1 species
AGAGUUUGAUCCUGGCUCAGAUUGAACGCUGGCGGCAUGCUUUACACAUGCAAGUCGAACGGUAACAGGUUAAGCUGACGAGUGGCGAACGGGUGAGUAAUGCAUCGGAACGUGCCCGGUCGUGGGGGAUAACGCAGCGAAAGCUGCGCUAAUACCGCAUACGAUCUGAGGAUGAAAGCGGGGGACCGUAAGGCCUCGCGCGAUCGGAGCGGCCGAUGUCAGAUUAGGUAGUUGGUGGGGUAAAGGCUCACCAGGCCGACGAUCUGUAGCUGGUCUGAGAGGACGACCAGCCACACUGGGACUGAGACACGGCCCAGACUCCUACGGGAGGCAGCAGUGGGGAAUUUUGGACAAUGGGCGCAAGCCUGAUCCAGCAAUGCCGCGUGCAGGAAGAAGGCCUUCGGGUUGUAAACUGCUUUUGUACGGAGCGAAAAGGCUCUCUCUAAUACAGGGGGCUCAUGACGGUACCGUAAGAAUAAGCACCGGCUAACUACGUGCCAGCAGCCGCGGUAAUACGUAGGGUGCAAGCGUUAAUCGGAAUUACUGGGCGUAAAGCGUGCGCAGGCGGUUUUGUAAGACAGGCGUGAAAUCCCCGGGC